UACGGGGGGGGCAAGCGUUGUUCGGAAUUACUGGGCGUAAAGGGCUCGUAGGUGGCCAACUAAGUCAGACGUGAAAUCCCUCGGCUUAACCGGGGAACUGCGUCUGAUACUGGAUGGCUUGAGUUCGGGAGAGAGAUGCGGAAUUCCAGGUGUAGCGGUGAAAUGCGUAGAUAUCAGGAGGAACACCGGUGGCGAAGGCGGCUUCCUGGACCGACACUGACGCUGAGGCGCGAAAGCUAGGGGAGCAAACGGG
rnacentral:rRNA from 1 species